rnacentral:rRNA from 1 species
UACGUAGGUGGCAAGCGUUGUCCGGAUUUACUGGGCGUAAAGGGCGCGUAGGCGGCGUGGUAAGUCACUUGUGAAAUCUCUGAGCUUAACUCAGAACGGCCAAGUGAUACUGCUGUGCUAGAGUGCAGAAGGGGCAAUCGGAAUUCUUGGUGUAGCGGUGAAAUGCGUAGAUAUCAAGAGGAACACCUGAGGUGAAGACGGGUUGCUGGGCUGACACUGACGCUGAUGCGCGAAAGCCAGGGGAGCAAACGGG